AACGAACGCUGGCGGCAUGCCUAACACAUGCAAGUCGAACGAGAUCUUCGGGUCUAGUGGCGCACGGGUGCGUAACGCGUGGGAAUCUGCCCUUUGGUUCGGAAUAACAGUUGGAAACGACUGCUAAUACCAGGUGAUGACGAAAGUCCAAAGAUUUAUCGCCAGAGGAUGAGCCCGCGUAGGAUUAGCUAGUUGGUGCGGUAAAGGCGCGCCAAGGCGACGAUCCUUAGCUGGUCUGAGAGGAUGAUCAGCCACACUGGGACUGAGACACGGCCCAGACUCCUACGGGAGGCAGCAGUGGGGAAUAUUGGACAAUGGGCGAAAGCCUGAUCCAGCAAUGCCGCGUGAGUGAUGAAGGCCUUAGGGUUGUAAAGCUCUUUUACCCGGGAUGAUAAUGACAGUACCGGGAGAAUAAGCUCCGGCUAACUCCGUGCCAGCCGCCGCAGUAA
rnacentral:rRNA from 1 species